rnacentral:rRNA from 1 species
CCUACGGGAGGCUGCAGUGGGGAAUAUUGGGCAAUGGGCGCAAGCCUGACCCAGCAACGCCGCGUGAAGGAAGAAGGCUUUCGGGGUGUAAACUUCUUUUCUCAGGGACGAAGAAAGUGACGGUACCUGAGGAAUAAGCAACGGCUAACUACGGGCCAGCAGCCGCGGUAAUACGUAGGGGGCAAGCGUUAUCCGGAUUUAUUGGGUGUAAAGGGCGUGUAGGCGGGAGCGCAAGUCAGAUGUGAAAACUCAGGGCUCAACCCUGAGCCUGCAUUUGAAACUGUGUUUCUUGAGUGCUGGUGAGGCAAUCGGAAUUCCGUGUGUCGCGCUGAAAUGCGUAGAUAUCCCGAGGAACCCCAGUGGCGAAGGCGGCUUGCUGGACAGUAACUGACGCUGAGGCGCGAAAGCGUGGGUAGCAAACAGGAUUAGAUACCCGAGUAGUC